UACGUAGGGGGCAAGCGUUGUCCGGAAUCAUUGGGCGUAAAGAGCGUGUAGGCGGCUUGGUAAGUCCGCUGUGAAAGUCCAGGGCUCAACCCUGGAAUGCCGGUGGAAACUGUCGAGCUCGAGUCCGGAAGAGGCGAGUGGAAUUCCUGGUGUAGCGGUGAAAUGCGCAGAUAUCAGGAGGAACACCAAUGGCGAAGGCAGCUCGCUGGGACGUGACUGACGCUGAGACGCGAAAGCGUGGGGAGCAAACAGG
rnacentral:rRNA from 1 species